CAAUAGCGUAUAUUAAAGUUGUUGCAGUUAAAAAGCUCGUAGUUGGAUUUCUGGUGGGAGCGAUCGGUCUGGCGCUUAGCGCGAGUACUUGCAUCGUCUCCGGCCAUCCUUGGGGAGAGUCUGUCUGGCAUUAGGUUGUCGGGCAGAGGAUCCUCAUCGUUUACUGUGAAAAAAUUUGAGUGUUCAAAGCAGGCUUAUGCCGUUGAAUAUAUUAGCAUGGAAUAAUAAGAUAGGACUUUGGUACUAUUUUGUUGGUUUGCGCACCAAAGUAAUGAUUAAUAGGGACAGUUGGGGGUAUUCGUAUUCCGUUGUCAGAGGUGAAAUUCUUGGAUUUACGGAAGACGAACUACUGCGAAAGCAUUUACCAAGGAUGUUUUCAUUAA
rnacentral:rRNA from 1 species